rnacentral:piRNA from 1 species
AGACAAAUGACUUGAAGGAAGUGGU